rnacentral:rRNA from 1 species
ACUCCUACGGGAGGCAGCAGUAGGGAAUCUUCCACAAUGGGCGCAAGCCUGAUGGAGCAACACCGCGUGAGUGAAGAAGGGUUUCGGCUCGUAAAGCUCUGUUGUUAAAGAAGAACACGUAUGAGAGUAACUGUUCAUACGUUGACGGUAUUAACCAGAAAGUCACGGCUAACUACGUGCCAGCAGCCGCGGUAAUACGUAGGUGGCAAGCGUUAUCCGGAUUUAUUGGGCGUAAAGAGAGUGCAGGCGGUUUUCUAAGUCUGAUGUGAAAGCCUUCGGCUUAACCGGAGAAGUGCAUCGGAAACUGGAUAACUUGAGUGCAGAAGAGGGUAGUGGAACUCCAUGUGUAGCGGUGGAAUGCGUAGAUAUAUGGAAAGAACACCAGUGGCGAAGGCGGCUACCUGGUCUGCAACUGACGCUGAGACUCGAAAGGCAUGGGUAAGCGAACAGGAUUACGAUA